CUUAUAAUUACUCGCCAUCGUUGCUCAUGACCAGCUGCAAGUCGCGUGCGAAUAUAUAAGCGUAUUAUGCAUGGGCCAUGCACGCUUGAGUCGUCUAGGCCACCCCGACGGCGGGGCUUUGGCGGCUCACGAGGACGUCGACCACGUCCCUGUUCGGCGCCGCCCUCGUCGCCGCCGCCACUUCAGCAGCGCAGGUCCUGGUGGGAAGCCCCAUCUCGCGCACCGGGUGCACGCCGGAGCUCCGCUCGGGGAGGGCCGGGCUGAGCUUGGCGAUGUUGACGAGGACGUGCUCGUCGGCGGCUGUCGGUAGCUUGCCCGCUUCCUUGCCGUCGGCGACCACCGGUGUCUUGUUCAUGUAGAACACGUACAGGACCAUCUGCACCACGCCGAAGGUGAAUCCAAGGAUGUUCGGAAGCUGCAGAGAUCACAUAAUUUUUUAUCGAUCAGUAUCAGUAAGACGCAUCGUACGUUAACUCACCAAAUUAAGCGACUAAAAAAGGUAUGUGAUGUGAGAAGCAAUUAGUUACCGCGACGUAUUUGUCCUUGAUGAGGAGGCCGUAGAGGAACCAGACGACGGCGCUGAGGGUGAGCGUGAGGGAGAGGGAGAAGGGCAUGUACUCCACGCUCCUCGUCUGGAUCACGCGCUUCUGCACGAACACAAACGCAUGCGAUCGAUGGCCAUUAGCACGAGCUCACCAUGGCACAACAGGAUACCAAGUAAAGGAUCGACGAUCGGAGUGCUCAGUACUCACGAUAAUGCUGAGCGGCGCGACGAAGACGCCGACGGAGAAGGCGACGCAGAUCCAUCCGAGGGUGACGAUGCGCUUGUCACCAUGGAAGACGAGGAGGGUGAAGAGGAGGAUGGCCCCGAAGAAGCCGACGUUGAGGCCAAGCAUGAUCUUGGCAGUGAACCACCUGGCUUUCUUGUCCGCGUAGACGAAGUACAAGAUGACGUAGAUGCUCUCGAUGACGAAGCCGGCGACGUUGAUGGUGAUGAGCAGGACCUCGUUGGAUUUGAUCAGCGCGUAGAAGAUCCACAGCAUCGCGCUGAACAGAGCCACCACGUAGGGAACCGACUGGAAACCCUCCGUCGACUUGCUCUUGUAGAUGCGGUAGAACGUCGGGCUGCACAUACAAAUACAAAGAAUGCAAAUAUGGUUAAUUUCAAAACAUCAAUUUCAAACGCGUAGCAAUGUUAAGCUAAUAUAUAUAUAUAUACACACGAAAUUAGAAUUUAAUGAGGUACUUACAUUGGGGCCAGGAAGGUCAUGAAGGAGAUGACGUUGCCUGCAGCACAAAAGGGCGCCAAGGAUCAGAUGUUUGCAAAAGUUGGCAAAGACCCCAAAGCUGGGGAUAAGAUGUGAUGAGGUGACACGUUACAUCUGCGGUCUAAUUUUCCUUCUUUUGCGAGCAAAGGUUGCCGAGGCUUUAUUUUAUUUUAGUUUAGUUUUGAUAAACGAGCUCUUUUGUGUUGCGGUGCACUAUGACGUCAUCUGUGCUACACAGUAGCAGCAGUGGCCUGACUACGUACGUCACCCAAGCGGCAAGAUAGAUGCUGCAAAAGGAUCGAUUGCUAGCUCGACAGGUAGUCCAUGAUAAGAAAUGUAUAGGCUAACAAAAGCAUCGAUCAAUCAUGACAAAGAUGAUAAAAAUCUAUUGAUCUAUGCUUAAUGUGUGGUGCCACUGGCACUUGUGACUAUAAUCACUUUAUGACCACAUGAAGCUUCUCAUUUUUGGAAAAUAUUUGGAAGCUGCGCAAGCUCGACUACGUAUAAUUGGUUCAGUGAUCACUGGAUCGGAGUGCAACUCCCACUAGUAAUAAGUAGCCUGCAUGUGCUGCUCUAGCAACUAGGCAUAGCAAUUUGUAAAGUGCAACCGAGUAGAACAGAAUUGAAAGGAUGAGUGAUUCGUGGGCUUGCAACUCUUGUUUUGUGAAAGGGGUAUUAUUUACCUAGGAGGCCGAAGGUGAAUGCCCAGGGAUGCUGAAGGGAAAAGCCAGCCAUUGUGAUACAAGAGGAUCUAAAAAUAGUAUGUCUGCAAGAGCUCCAACACAAGCUACACAGCUAAUUGAACAGUUGCUGGAAUUAAGGUGAUGAGCUUGGCUUUGGAACUACUUCUCUUCCUCUCUAACCCUUUGGCCCCUGCAGGAGGGAAGGGAGAGUUCUGAGGAGGAGUUCUCUGUGUUGGC
rnacentral:lncRNA from 1 species